rnacentral:tRNA from 1 species
GCGCCCGUAGCUCAGUUGGAUAGAGCGUCUGCCUUCUAAGCAGAGGGUCGGGGGUUCGAAUCCCUCCGGGCGCGCCA